GACGAACGCUGGCGGCGUGCUUAACACAUGCAAGUCGAGCGGUAAGGCCCUUUCGGGGUACGACGAGCGGCGAACGGGUGAGUAACACGUGGGUGACCUGCCCUCAGCUCUGGGAUAAGCCUGGGAAACCGGGUACUAAUACCGGAUAUGACUCCAUGACGCAUGUUGUGGGGUGGAAAGCCUUGUGCGGCUGAGGAUGGGCCCGCGGCCUAUCAGCUUGUUGGUGGGGUGAUGGCCUACCAAGGCGACGACGGGUAGCCGGCCUGAGAGGGCGACCGGCCACACUGGGACUGAGACACGGCCCAGACUCCUACGGGAGGCAGCAGUGGGGAAUCUUGCGCAAUGGGCGAAAGCCUGACGCAGCGACGCCGCGUGAGGGAUGACGGCCU
rnacentral:rRNA from 1 species